AUCCCUACUGUGGUGCAAUAGGUCAAUGCAUCUGGCUAUUAACCAGAAGGUUGGUGGUUCGAGCCCAACCAGGGAUG
rnacentral:tRNA from 1 species